AUUGAACGCUGGCGGAAUGCUUUACACAUGCAAGUCGAACGGUAGAGGGGGCGACCCCUCGAGAGUGGCGAACGGGUGAGUAAUAUAUCGGAACGUGCCCAGUCGUGGGGGAUAACGUAGCGAAAGUUACGCUAAUACCGCAUACGAUCUAAGGAUGAGAGCGGGGGAUCGCAAGACCUCGCGCGAUUGGAGCGGCCGAUAUCAGAUUAGGUAGUUGGUGGGGUAAAGGCUCACCAAGCCAACGAUCUGUAGCUGGUCUGAGAGGACGACCAGCCACACUGGAACUGCGAAACGGUCCAGACUCCUACGGGAGGCAGCAGUGGGGAAUUUUGGACAAUGGACGCAAGUCUGAUCCAGCCAUUCCGCGUGCAGGAUGAAGGCCCUCGGGUUGUAAACUGCUUUUGUACGGAACGAAAAGGUCUCUCUUAAUACGGGGGACUCAUGACGGUACCGUAAGAAUAAGCACCGGCUAACUACGUGCCAGCCGCCGCCGUAA
rnacentral:rRNA from 1 species